CUGCUGGCCUGGCUGGUCGUGGCCUCCCGCACCUCGAUGCGGUGGCAGAUCUGGCCGUCCCUUCUUCGUCUUCCUCGACCACAACAUCACCACCCUUUUGCAACGAGAUCAGCAGUGCAGGUGCGCUCUCCGGUGCCCCGCUGAGUGAUAAGGUUUCCUAGGGUGUCAACUAGAUUAUUUCGGACACGCCUCGGGACAAGAGGGUCAGUACAUCCACGAGUUACAGCCUUUCAACAAUGACAACUGAUUGGUCCGUUUGUUUCAAUUGGAGUUAAAGGAGUUACAGGGCACAUUGCUCGGAGAUACUCAGCUGGAGCUCUCUCCACAAAUUGUCUUCCAGGUGUGCAAAUUAAACUUCAAUUGGAUCACAUAAGCGUACAUGAACCAAUGAGAGUAACAUUAAAGUAACUACUAGCCGAGUACCAGC